rnacentral:rRNA from 1 species
CCCUUAGAUGUUCUGGGCCGCACGCGCGCUGCACUGAUGAACGCAACGAGACCACCUGUACCGAAAGGCAUGGGUAAACUUGUGAAAGUUCAUCGUGAUGGGGAUAGAUUAUUGCAAUUAUUAAUCUUCAACGAGGAAUUCCUAGUAAGCGCGAGUCAUCAGCUCGCGUUGAUUACGUCCCUGCCCUUUGUACACACCGCCCGUCGCUCCUACCGAUUGAAUGGUCCGGUGAAAUCUUCGGAUUGCUGGAUAGGACUUCAUUGACCUAUCUGCGAGAAGUUGCUUGAACCUUAUCAUUUAGAGGAAGGAGAAGUCGUAACA